AUGCCGCCGCGCGCCGCCACCACCGGGCCCCGCCCCUCCGCCUUGCGCCACCGUCCCGUGCCACACCGCCGUGCGCCGCCACCACCGCCCCCCGCCCCUCCGCCGUGCGUCGCCAUUGCCGACCAACGCCGCCGCUCCCACCCCUACCCGACGUGCCUCCACCCCUGUGGCUUUCCACUGCCGGCGACAAUCAACGUCGGCGCCGCACCUUCCCCAACUCAUCUUUCCCCUCUCUAUCACUGCCGCUCUCCAUCGACCGACCAACUCCCUCGAGGUAGCACCUCCCGAUCCUCCUCUGUUUGUGUGUGUGUGCUCGAUCUGGAUCCACCCCUUUCAUGGGUGCAACAUAGAGGAGAGACCCCCUUUUCAGUAAUUAGGUUAAUUUUUCAAUUAGCUCAUAAACAUGAUGUCUGUACAAUUUUGAGGAUGAUGCACAUUGUUGCUUCUCAUACUACUGAGAAUCGAAUGACUCCAUCAGCAGUUGUUGCUUGUAUGUCUCCUCUCUUGCUGCAUCCACUUCUAGCAGGUGAAUGUGAGAUGGAAGAUGACAUAGACAUGAUUGAUGACAAUUCUGCUGAGCUUAUAGCUGCUGCAAAUGCUAAUAUUGGUGGCACGAGGCUGGCGGGUGCGACAUGGCCGACGCCGGUGAGAGAAUAG
rnacentral:rRNA from 1 species